GACGAACGCUGGCGGCGUGCUUAACACAUGCAAGUCGAACGGAAAGGCCCUGCUUUUGCGGGGUGCUCAAUUGGCGAACGGGUGAGUAACACGUGUGUAACCUGCCCUUGACUUUGGGAUAACUUCAGGGAACUGGGGCUAAUACCGGAUAGGAGCUCCUGCUGCGUGGUGGGGGCUGGAAAGUUUCGGUGGUUGGGGAUGGUCUCGGGGCUUAUCGGCUUGUUGGUGGGGUAGGGGCAUACCAAGGCUUUGACGGGUAGCCGGGCUGGGAGGGUGACCGGACACGUCAGGCCUGGAAUGAGACCCAGCCCCGUACCGGAGGGAGGGGAGGGGAGGAGUACAUAAUGGGCGGAGGGCAAAUGCAGCAACGCCGCGUGGGGGAUGACGGCCAGCGGGUUGUGAUCCGCUUCCGCUUGUGACGAGGAGUGAGUGACGGUAAUGGGUAAAGAAGCACCGGCUAACUACGUG
rnacentral:rRNA from 1 species